rnacentral:tRNA from 1 species
GGGAGGGUUCCCGAGUGGCUAAAGGGGACGGACUGUAAAUCCGUUGGCAACGCCUUCACUGGUUCGAAUCCAGUCCUUCCCACCA